rfam:Pteropus alecto contig106322, whole genome shotgun sequence.
GCGAUGCCAUACUCAGAAGGGGCCAGGUUACUUAGAAUGAGUGUUGCCUGAGCCCUUCUGAGUAUAGCAAUGCU